GGGCGGUUAGCUCAGUUGGGAGAGCACCUCGUUUACACCGAGGGGGUCGGGAGUUCGAGCCUCUCACCGCCCACCA
rnacentral:tRNA from 1 species